CUUCUCGUUAGAUCACCGAAGUCAAGCAUCAUUGGGCGCGGUCAGUACUUGGGUGGGUGACCACCUGGGAACACCGCGUGCCGUU